rnacentral:rRNA from 1 species
GGUUCAAAAGUGAAAGACGGUCUUGCUGUCACUUAUAGAUGGAUCCGCGCUGCAUUAGCUAGUUGGUAAGGUAACGGCUUACCAAGGCAACGAUGCAUAGCCGACCUGAGAGGGUGAUCGGCCACACUGGAACUGAGACACGGUCCAGACUCCUACGGGAGGCAGCAGUAGGGAAUCUUCCGCAAUGGGCGAAAGCCUGACGGAGCAACGCCGCGUGAGUGAUGAAGGUCUUCGGAUCGUAAAACUCUGUUAUUAGGGAAGAACAUAUGUGUAAGUAACUGUGCACAUCUUGACGGUACCUAAUCAGAAAGCCACGGCUAACUACGUGCCAGCAGCCGCGGUAAUACGUAGGUGGCAAGCGUUAUCCGGAAUUAUUGGGCGUAAAGCGCGCGUAGGCGGUUUUUUAAGUCUGAUGUGAAAGCCCACGGCUCAACCGUGGAGGGUCAUUGGAAACUGGAAAACUUGAGUGCAGAAGAGGAAAGUGGAAUUCCAUGUGUAGCGGUGAAAUGCGCAGAGAUAUGGAGGAACACCAGUGGCGAAGGCGACUUUCUGGUCUGUA